CAGAACAGAAAGUCAGCUGUCACUUUCCGGCAGAAGGAGACACCAUGCUGACACUUUUUCAUUCAGAUCUGUGAGUCCUUUAAGCAUUACAUAGUGAGACCGUGGCGUGUCCAGAACACGUAAGCCACCUCGGAUGCUUGAAAAUCGUGCCUGACUCUUGUACAGCCUGCACACGCCAAACGUGGUCCCCAGAGUCAUGUGCAGCAGAUGUGGAAGUGGCACCACUCUGCAUUGAGCUGGGGAAGAUGUUCUCACAAAACAAGUGUCAGCAGCAUGCAGUGGCUCCACAACUAACCAACCACUGCUGUUUUCAGAAGUUCACGCCAAGCUCACUGCUGCUAAUAAUUCAGCUUGGAGAUCUGUGGAGAAAGAUUCUGGACCAACCCUGUGGAAUCCAGUACAUGCUGGGUUCGACUUCUCCACUACUUCCCCAUGGUAGAAUCCAUACUACUUUACUUCUUCCUUUCUUUUUGAUACACGUGUAUUCUCACUACGUCACACCCCCUAGCCUCAGCUUCCUGAGUGCUGGGAUUAGAGAUGUCUGCCCCACCAUUACUUGGCUCCAUUCUAGUCACCAGAAGGAAAAGGGUAGCUCUUAACUUAAACAAGAAACUGUAAGCCAUGGCAAAUGAUACGGCACUAUGAGGAGGGAAGGCUGGGUCAGUCUUUGUUCCACAAAGGGUCCUCUAGCAUCCACAGGCCAGCAGACUGCACCUGCCGGGCACUGGAUUACAUGUGCAGAACCAGGAGCUGCAUUUUAACAAGACGUGCAGCUAAUUAACAAGCACAAUGAGUUUUGAGAAGAGACUCGCAUCGGAUCAUUUGCCUUCCUUUGUUAGUUUGCAAAGAGCUGGUACCAAAGAUACGUGGCAGAACUGUGUGGUACCCAGGGAGUGCGAUGCACACAUAUGAAGAGUGCGCCAUUCAAACCAGUAGGGCAAGCCCACCUGACCACGAGAGUAUUUUCUGCCUAAGUCAAAGUAUACCUAUACAACUGAGGUUGGUAUAACCAUCACUUCAAAUUUUCCUUUGACAUUCCCCGUUUCUAGUUUUGGAGAUGAACACGGGGCUUUGAGCUUUCGAGGCAAGUGUCCUACCAAAGGAUCCCCAGUCCUCCAAUUUUAUCUUCACACUGAUGCAUUGGAGCCGACUUCUCUUUCAGAAGCGCUAUUGGUAAAGCCAUUAAUUGAUGUCUUAGCCUUUGGCAACAGAAUAAUAUCCUCAUUAUGACUUCCUCAAUUUCUGAAGACACGGUGUUCUAAAAAUAUGUAUGAAGCAUUGAAUAUGUUUGCACUUGUACAAAGUCUUUCUAAUGUAGCCUAGCAUUAAAUAAACCUGAAAGGAAAUCUCUCCUUUUAUAUAAUUUUCAGGUAAUAACAAACACUAACCUUUAGUGCCCUGUCUGUCUUUUUAAGAUUUAGAAUCAUCUAGAGCUGGGGUUCAGCUCACUGUUAAAGCUCUUGUCUGGCAUGGGACCCUGGGCUUGACUUCCUGCACCUCAUACAGAAACGAAGAGGAGGAUGGAUAAACCACCGGAGCAAUUUAGUUUCCAACAGAAUGACAGCUGUCCUGCCAUUCCCAAGAAUGAAAGCUAAAAGGGACAGAAGUACGGACAUCAAUACUGCCCUUAGAACUUCCCAGCCCAGGGAUGCAGCUGCCUUUGAAGGUGGAAAGUAACACGUAGGUUUGCUCACUGAUGAUGCUAGGAACGUCAGGUCCCGGGAACGCCAGUCGUCACAUUCAUCCUGCUUACUGGAGUCUGCCCUCACUGUCAGAUGAUUGAACACGGGCAGAGUUCUGUGCCCGCCUGCUUUGGUUUCUACCAAGCACAGAAAUCACAUGCCCAUUGUUAAGACGCUGGAUCAUUAAAAGUCAGAUGCGCAGAGCAUCUGCGCCGCCCUGCUCCGGACGCUUCCACGUGCAGCUCAAGGAGCUGGAUGAGCUCAUCCUAAUUGCAUGGAAAACUGAAGCCAAACUCCGAUAAUCACCUCAUCUGUGUGUGCUGUAUGGUUCCGAGGGGUGGCGGUGUAUAUGCAGCACAGGGACCUGGGUCUUACACAACCGGAGACAAAGCCAGAGUUUCCAGAAGAAAAACGCUUGGCAAGAAAAGCAACUGCAGACCUGAAGGUCAGCCGCAACUGAAGCCCUGGUGCGGAAGGCCAGCCGAUCACAGGAAAGACUAGCAUAGCACCAAAGGAGAGAUCAGAUCAAGAAUGCAACUCACCGGUAUUCAUAGCAUGCCCCAGUGUGACCUUCACCACGCAAGGCCUAUGAAAAAUGUAUAAGGUGCCAGAUUAACUAAGAAGGGGACAGCCCUUUGAGGGCUGGGAGGACUUUUCAGGACAAAACCACCUCAGGACUAAAAUAAAAACCCAAGAUCUUGUCUGCAGAAUCCUAAACAAAGAAGGCGUAAGUACAGAAGGAACGUCAGGCUCAGCAUGUCAGCCUUUGGGGAGCACAGAAAUCCAGGAGCAGCCUAUGAAGAACCAUGAACACAGAACAUGUUUCCGGCAAGCCCGUCAGAGAACAACAGAAAUCAAGGGCGGGAAGGUCCUGGAGUGGCCUGCCUUCCAGAGAUCUUGGUUGCAGACUUUUCAACUCUAGAAUUAUAGGCAAAAGCAAGAUUUUAGCAAGAUUCAUGGAAGACUUUAUGCCCGAGAUUAGCAAGGAGAGCCAUGUCUUUAAUUCGCUUUGUAUGCUUAAAAAUUAGUAUGGACGACUGAUGAGAGCUGGGGGUUUCCGGAGGCCAGCAGAGACUUAAGACAAAUGGCUUCUCUGGAGGAGCCUUAAAUGCUCAAUUAAACUUCUGAGAAAAACAGUCCCAGGUGUCUGCUGGGAGAGCCAGGGGCCUGUCAUGAAUUCAGAAGACGGAGAAGGAGACCCUCAAGCUCAUGUUUCUGAACUGGAGAAGUCAGAGGUUUCAGCCCAGAGCCUGCAUGCUGGGAUGAAUUGCAGAAUUCAGCGCAUCGUCGUGUGGUCUCAGGGGCAACUAGCCUGGCUGUCUUGCAGCCAGUGAGCCGACGGGAGACAUCACAGAGAUUCUGGGACCAACGGCCAUGCCACACUUACUCUUCAAGAGGUAACAAAGACCACAGAGCUACACACCUGUUUCUUCUCAACACCAAAAGAUCAAUACAUCCUAUACAUUCAAAUGAAAUCAGUCGUUUUCCAUAAACUUUCCUCCAUGAAACCAGUACUGAUCACAACAUAUUCAGCUGGAAAUAAAGAAGUGUAUAGAAACACUAAAUUAUCUUGUUAAAGAACAGUAAAGAUACUCACGGGCAAGGGGGAUAUUCUGUAAAAUAUGUACAGCCUCUCUUCUAAAUAAAAAGUAUUAUAGAGACUUGGAUUUACAGCAUGGAUUUAUUGCUGCAGUUUAGAGCAAAUUCUAUCACAUUUUGCAACCAAGCUCAAGCAGCUUCUCAAGAGCACACAGCACACCAAUGCUCACAUACAUCCCGACACUCUUUACAUAAGUCACUACACCGCAGCUCUCUUCAGUUACAGACGCUUGGACCCAAAUUACUGUUCCCAAAUACUGUAUUAGGGAGAUGUACUAUAUGCUGGCAAUAGAACCAAGGAUGGUUUCCAAGUGUAUGUCAUGCAACUGAUCUCAAAGUCUCAUACACUGAUUAAUAUGCAAGCCAUGAAGCAAAGACAACUUGACUCUAGAAGGUAAUCUUUUAUCUCUGGAUUGAUAUACCUAUCAUGAUUAUUUUUUUAAACUGUUUUCUUCUCCCACUAAAAUCUAUAAUGUAUUUCUUCUGCUGCCUUGAUAGUCUCACCUUAUAUAGUAAUUUACUAUAAGGAAAAUUUGGCUAUAACAAACAGAAGGCCUCAAGUUUUAAUACAGCCAAUGACCAGCUCUGGGACAUUCUUGGUAUCCUCCUCUAUAAAAAAAGCCAACAAUAGCUACCACACAGAAGACUGAGUUUGGUCCAUAACGGCUUUUCCUCACCCUCCUCUCCAAAUAAGGAUACCAAUGACAACAACCUAGAGUGCU